rnacentral:rRNA from 1 species
GGGCACAGGGUGGAUGCCUUGGCACUAGGAGCCGAAGAAGGACGUUGUAGCCUGCGAUAAGCCUCGGGGAGUUGGCAAACGAACCGUGAUCCGAGGAUGUCCGAAUGGGGAAACCCCGCACGAGUCAUGUCGUGUGACCUGCACCUGAAUAUAUAGGGUGUGUGGAGGGAACGGCGGGAAGUGAAACAUCUCAGUACCGCCAGGAAGAGAUAUUCCGUGAGUAGUGGCGAGCGAAAGCGGAUCAGGCCAAACCGUGUACGUGUUCAAGCCGGCAGGCGUUGCGUGCACGGGGUUGUGGGACCUUUCCGUUGGAUCUGCCGAUCCGACAGGGAGUCAGAAAGUCGCGUCAUAGUCGAAGGGCAUUGAAAGGCCCGGCACAGAGGGUGUGACCCCCGUAGACGAAAUGGCGUGGCCUCCCGAAGGGGAUCCCAAGUAGCUCCGGGCCCGAGAAACCUGGAGUGAAUCUGCACAGACCACUGUGUAAGCCUAAAUACUACCUAGUGACCGAUAGCGGACAAGUACCGUGAGGGAAAGGUGAAAAGUACCCCGGGAGGGGAGUGAAAUAGUACCUGAAACCGUGUGCCUACAAUCCGUUGGAGCCUCCCUAGCAGGGGUGACAGCGUGCCUUUUGAAGAAUGAGCCUGCGAGUUAGUGGUACGUGGCGAGGUUAACCCGUGUGGGGAAGCCGUAGCGAAAGCGAGUCCGAAUAGGGCGAUUCAGUCGCGUGCUCUAGACCCGAAGCGGAGUGAUCUAGCCAUGGGCAGGUUGAAGCGCGGGUAAGACCGCGUGGAGGACCGAACCCACCAGGGUUGAAAACCUGGGGGAUGACCUGUGGUUAGGGGUGAAAGGCCAAUCAAACUCCGUGAUAGCUGGUUCUCCCCGAAAUGCAUUUAGGUGCAGCGUCACGUGUUUCUUGCCGGAGGUAGAGCUACUGGAUGGCUAAUGGGCCCCAAAAGGUUACUGACGUCAGCCAAACUCCGAAUGCCGGUAAGCCAGAGCGUGGCAGUGAGACUGCGGGGGAUAAGCUCCGUAGUCGAGAGGGAAACAGCCCAGACCACCAGCUAAGGCCCCUAAGCGUGUGCUAAGUGGGAAAGGAUGUGGAGUUGCACAGACAACCAGGAGGUUGGCUUAGAAGCAGCCACCCUUGAAAGAGUGCGUAA